rnacentral:misc_RNA from 1 species
AAGUCGUAACAAGGUCUCCGUUGGUGAACCAGCGGAGGGAUCAUUACCGAGUUUACAACUCCCAAACCCCUGUGAACAUACCAAAUUUGUUUGCCUCGGCGGAUCAGCCCCGUCCCCGGUUAAAAACGGGGACGGGCCCCGCCAGAGGACCCCCUUAAACCCUGUUUUCAAUGUAAACUUCUGAGUAAAACCAUAAAUAAAUCAAAA